rnacentral:rRNA from 1 species
GUGACCCCAGGAUGGGCGAGGCCACCCGCUGA